rnacentral:misc_RNA from 1 species
AUCAGUUCAGGCCAAGAACCUCACAUUAGGCAGCAGCAAGUUAUAAUUGCUACUUCCUAUUCCAGCAUCAGGGGAUUGUUUUUCCCAAAAGUCAGGUUGAAAAAAAUUUUAAAACAAGCCAAACCACAACUUUUAGAAGAAAAAUUAUUAACAUAUUUCAGAAAAAUCAAUAUUUCUGAAUAAAAUACAAUUUUGUUAAGGGGUAUAAAUAGAAUAUCUAUUUUACAUGUACAAAUAGCAAACUAUUAAGAAUGUUGAGACAAUCAUAGAAAGAUGAGAUGGAAAUCACUGUUUCACAAGUGGUCGAGUGUUGCUCCAAAGCCAUUCAUGAGUAGGACCAUCCAACAAUGGUGAAACCUUCUCCCAAACUUGUGAAUGGUAAUCAUUAAGCCAAUUAACUUCACUAGCAGACAGUAAGGAUACGUCUACCAUUUUAGCCUGAAUGGGGAAAAACGUGAGUUUUUCAAAUCCCAGAUACUCCAUCCCUCCAAAGCGAUUUGGAGUGUUGAUCUCUUUCACAUGAAGUAGAUUCUCAAUUCGAAUACCAAAAGCAUGGUCUUCAUAAUACCCUGGUUCAUUGCUCACUAUCAUGCCUUUCUGCAAGGGAGUCAUAUUUCCAAAUCGAAAGCUAAUACUUUGAGGGCCUUCAUGAACAUUUAAUGCAGCUCCUACACCAUGUCCAGUCCCAUGUCGGUAGUCAAGCCCUAUCUUCCACAGAAAAGAACGGGCAAAAGCAUCCAACACAAAACCAGGUGUAUUUUCAGGGAAUACAGCCUGAUCCAGGGCUAUAUGACCCUGUAGAACUCGAGUGAAACAUUCUUUCUCAUAUGCGGUAGGUUCACCAAAGUGCACUGUCCUGGUUAUGUCAGUUGUUCCAUCAACAUAUUGGGCUCCACUGUCUAAUAGAAACAAUUUUUUUGAAUCCACAAUACUACAACUUUUUGGUUCAGGUUUGUAGUGUAUGAUAGCACCAUUUGCACCAGAACCACUUAUUGAAUCAAAGCUAGUAUCCAGGAAACCAGCCUGCUUUGAACGGAAUUCAAGGAGUUUAUCUGCAACAUCCACUUCUGUUAGUUUCACAUCUUUGUGAAUUUCCUCUUCCAGCCAGGCCCAAAACUGUGCUAGAGCAGCAGCAUCCCUUAAAUGUGAAUCUCGCAUGCCUUGUAACUCAGCUGGAUUUUUCAAUGCUUUUGCCAAAGAGAUAGGUGAUGCCUUGUAAACUCCAGAUGGUCCCCAUGACUGACCAUUGGAGCCAUUAUAUAUCUUAGUCAUACUAUCAUUUUUACUUCCAAGAUUCUCAAGAUGUCUAUCACAGGCAGACUUGUAGGUGUUGACUAUAGCAGCAUUAACAGAUGAUGGGUCCAACCAGAGUUCAACCCCUCGUGCAGCCAAACUGAAAGAUGAAACCAUCUUCUAGAGUAAAAUUAUUACAAAAAGCAAGUUUACCAAAUGAAGUGAAAAGCAACAAGCCUAAGGCCACUCCAGAAACAAAAUAUAAUUGUGUUAGACCAAGCCACACAUCUGUACAAUUUGCAUGUUGAAAAAUAUGACAUAGUUCAUUUUUCUCACUUGCACCAAUUUCACAUAUCUUAUCCAUGAAAAAAAAAUUGACACCAAAGCCACUACUCUAUUGCAAAAUGCUGCAUCCGUUUAUGUGCACUUGUGAAACUAGACAACAAAAGAAUAUGCUCCUUUCAUAAUCAUUGAAAAAGGGAACUGUAUGCUCUUCCUAUAUCCUAAGAGUAUGCAGCAAUUUUAGAAAAUGCCGCCACUACUAAAGCACAGAUACUGUGAAACUUAACUUACCUUUCUAUCUCAGAAAGGAUGGCAUCGUAAGGCCUCAACUCAACACCUGCAUUCUUCAAAUGAUUCAACACCUCAGGUGUGACUUUAGAAUUGUCCACAAAUAAUUUGGCUCCAUCAAUCUCCACAGUUAAGUAUGCAUACAUGACAGGUGAAUGAGGUGCAUCACUUCCUCUCUGUAAAAAAUAUAUGUAUAUUACUGACUUGUACAAGUUAGGUAAAUUAUAUAACAUUCCAGGAAACAAUAGCAUUCCUGUUGUUGUAGUUACUUCUGUUGUAGCAAAAAUUCCAAAAAUAUUGACCAACUCCUGAUAAGAUCUCCAAGCAUUAUCUUCAUAUUUAUGAAAGAUUAACUGAAAUUGUCCAAAAAUUUUGGUCUGGAAGUAUUACCAAGUUCAGCAGCCAGGCAAUUUCAUCAAGCAUGGAAAUAACAAUUGCAGAUGAACCAGCAUCAAGAAGCUGAGAUCUGAGGUAAGACAACUUUGAUGCUGCAUCCACACCUGCAUAUUUUAUGUCAUGUACUCUAAUUGGUUUGUUUGGAGGCUUUGGCCUUGAUUCCUUCCAUAUUUCAUCCACAAGGUUUGUAUCAUACAAGUAAAUCAACUUGUGAUUCUUCUUAGCAAUAGCCU